UUAAUGUAUGUUACAUCAGAACUUUUGACCAGGUAGACCGAUUUCGACAAAUUUUGUUUUAAUCGAAAGGUGGCGUGUGCCAAUUGGUCCCAUUUAAAUUUAUUUGAGAUCUAACAACUACUUUUCGAGUUAUAUCUAAUAAUGCGUUUUUACUUGACGCUUUUUUCGUCGACCUACGUUGUAUUAUACCGCAUAACUUUCUACUGGAUGAACCGA
rnacentral:misc_RNA from 1 species